ACAUCGUUACGAUAUGAGUGGACGACACAACCGCGGGACUGGCGAAGACGGCCAAACAACUGUCGUAGUGACCGCAACACCAGCAGCACCGACUGCGAGGCACACCGUGGGACCAUCACCUUGUACAAGAGUGUCCCAUCCUGGAAGUCCCAUUCCCAGCUUUUGAUGUUUAGUAUAAUCAAGUUAAGCAAACGGUACUUCUGAAGCUAUUUAAGCUACCUCAAAUGCGUUUAUAACUGGCUAUUGGAGAAAUUAUAUGAUAUUUUUGUACAUGCAAAUGACCGAAACAUAUAGAAUUACCAGGAUUGCCAGAUUCGCUGGAGUAACGUUAAUGAUUCUCCCAGUUAGUGUUCACAGAGGAAUUAUAGGUACCUUUCCAUCUUGGUAUUGGACGAAGAGCCCACAUUGGCGAGGCAAACACGUCCAAGGAUCGCCAGAAGAUAAAGUUUCAGAUAAAGGAACACGCACCAGAAGCGGCGAAAGUCACUUGUCCUGAAGGUACGACCAAUCUAGCUUCAUGUUAAAAGGUCGCACUAGAGAUUAGAAUGUGCUGGCCAAUAAUAUUCCAGAUGGCGUUGCUCGUGAAUACAAACGACGGAUGAACAGCUGCUCAAUUCACAGUGCGUGUACGAAGCUGAGCCUGCACGGAGGGUUGUGAGCUGGAUCUGGGACGUUUUUAGUACGGGCCGAAGUUAAAGUGCAUAUUGUCGGAAUUCGAAAGGCAGCAUAACAAAUGAAACAAACUCGGCGCUUAGAGAAGUACAUGUGGCUAUUGGAGAUAAUACAAUAACCGAGAGUUUAUUACUUUAGCGGACCGGCUUCGAUACUGCACAUUGCUAAGGAAUGAAACGUCUUUGAGCCUGGGUGCUUCGUUAAGACGUAAACGAACGACUUCAAAAAUGACUAUAGGUUUAAAAAGCAAAAUAUAUAAAUAGGAGAAAAAGACUAAUUUAUAGAAUAGAAGACGUCCUAAUACAGCCCUCGGGCUGAACAGUACAGAUUUUCAAAGUUUCAUGGUACUGAUUGCAAGCCUAGUAUAAAAUAUGCUGUUCUAUAUGCAGCUUAUUGUGCUAAUAGCAUGUAGCCAAUUCUAUGUACGUAAGUUGAAUUUUGAAGCACCUAGAAAGCUUUUAUAUGGACAAAUUAACGUCGACUCUACGUUAGCAAAAACAACUUAGGUUUUCUUCUAUAAAGCAGCGAUGCUAUAAGGAUGCGUUCUAUGAUUGGUAAAAAGAAGAGCGAAAAUCAGGUCAUUGUAAGCAGAAUCUAGAUAAUCAAAGUCGAUUUUUGUUCAAGCGGACUAAAACUUUUCGACCGGUUAUGCUGUGGUGGAAUUUUGCUGUUACGUUUUGAUAAAAACGCCGACCUGAAUAAAAAAAUACUAGACAAAUCCGAUCGGCGCUAACACCUAUGAAAGAUGACUUACAAGUACACUUCAGUAAUUGCAUUGAGUAUCUAGGACAGGAAAUGGGUUAGAACAACAUUCGUCAUUGGCCAAAAACUCGUUAUUGGAAAUAAAUAUUGAGUAUAUAGAUAGGACAGGCGUGCGAUAGCGACCAGAACUUGUUUUAGCAACUAUAAAAAUGUCUGUUAUAAAUGCAAUUAUAAAAAAAAAAAACAACGUGUGCGUUGACAGCUGAGAAAAUAACGAUGGUCCGACCGUUUAUCCCCAGAAUGUGUAAGCGAAUAACCUAAACUGAUGGACAACGACAAAAGGCCUAAGAUGAUGUUAAAUAGCCACACAGUUUAUUUUAAAAUGUAUAUAUGUGAAAGAAAAGUUUACAUUUUUUUUUAAAAUGCA